rnacentral:rRNA from 1 species
AUCCAACCCUAAAUACUACUACUAGACCGAUAGUGCACAAGUACCGUGAGGGAAAGGUGAAAAGAACUGAGGUGAUCAGAGUGAAAUAGAACCUGAAACCAUUUGCUUACAAUCAUUCAGAGCCCUAUGAUUUAUCAGGGUGAUGGACUGCCUUUUGCAUAAUGAGCCUGCGAGUUGUGGUGUCUGGCAAGGUUAAGGAAACCCGGAGCCGUAGCGAAAGCGAGUCUUAAUAGGGCGCAAAGUCAGAUGCUGCAGACCCGAAACGAUGUGAUCUAUCCAUGAGCAGGUUGAAACCGGUGUAAGAGCCGGUGGAGGACCGAACAGACGGCCGUUGAAAAGGCUCCUGAUGACUUGUGGAUAGGGGUGAAAGGCCAAUCAAACAUCGUGAUAGCUGGUUCUCUCCGAAAUAUAUUUAGGUAUAGCGUUGUGUAGUAACUUUGUGAGGUAGAGCACUGAAUGGGCUAGGGCAUACACCAAUGUACCAAACCCUAUCAAACUCCGAAUGCGCAAAGUGUAAUCACAGCAGUCAGGCGGCGAGUGAUAAAAUCCGUCGUCAAGAGGGGAACAACCCAGACUAACAGCUAAGGUCCCUAAAUCUCAUUUAAGUGGAAAACGAUGUGAAGUUACUUUAACAACCAGGAGGUUGGCUUAGAAGCAGCCAUCCUUUAAAGAAAGCGUAAUAGCUCACUGGUCUAGUGAUUUCGCGCGGAAAAUAUAACGGGGCUAAAAUGAGUACCGAAGCUUUAGA